UGCAGUCGAGCGCAGGAAAUAAACAGGAACCCUUCGGGGUGAUGUUUAUGGAAUGAGCGGCGGACGGGUGAGUAACACGUGGGCAACCUGCCUGUAAGAUCGGGAUAACUCGCGGAAACGUGAGCUAAUACCGGAUAACACUUUUCAUCUCAUGGUGAGAAGAUAAAAGACGGUUUCGGCUGUCACUUACAGAUGGGCCCGCGGCGCAUUAGCUAGUUGGUGAGGUAACGGCUCACCAAGGCGACGAUGCGUAGCCGACCUGAGAGGGUGAUCGGCCACACUGGGACUGAGACACGGCCCAGACUCCUACGGGAGGCAGCAGUAGGGAAUCUUCCGCAAUGGACGAAAGUCUGACGGAGCAACGCCGCGUGAGUGAUGAAGGUUUUCGGAUCGUAAAACUCUGUUGUUAGGGAAGAACAAGUUGGGUAGUAACUGACCCAACCUUGACGGUACCUAACCAGAAAGCCACGGCUAACUACGUGCCAGCAGCCGCGGUAAUACGUAGGUGGCAAGCGUUGUCCGGAAUUAUUGGGCGUAAAGCGCUCGCAGGCGGUCUUUUAAGUCUGAUGUGAAAGCCCACGGCUUAACCGUGGAGGGUCAUUGGAAACUGGAGGACUUGAGUACAGAAGAGGAGAGUGGAAUUCCACGUGUAGCGGUGAAAUGCGUAGAGAUGUGGAGGAACACCAGUGGCGAAGGCGACUCUCUGGUCUGUAACUGACGCUGAGGAGCGAAAGCGUGGGUAGCGAACAGGAUUAGAUACCCUGGGUAGUCCA
rnacentral:rRNA from 1 species